rnacentral:rRNA from 1 species
AACGAACGCUGGCGGCAGGCCUAACACAUGCAAGUCGAGCGAGGACUUCGGUUCUAGCGGCGGACGGGUGAGUAACGCGUGGGAAUGUGCCCUUCUCUACGGCAUAGCCCUGGGAAACUGGGAGUAAUACCGUAUACGCCCUAUUGGGGAAAGAUUUAUCGGAGAAGGAUCAGCCCGCGUUGGAUUAGGUAGUUGGUGGGGUAAUGGCCUACCAAGCCGACGAUCCAUAGCUGGUUUGAGAGGAUGAUCAGCCACACUGGGACUGAGACACGGCCCAGACUCCUACGGGAGGCAGCAGUGGGGAAUCUUAGACAAUGGGGGCAACCCUGAUCGAGCCAUGCCGCGUGAGUGAUGAAGGCCUUAGGGUUGUAAAGCUCUUUCAGCUGGGAAGAUAAUGACGGUACCAGCAGAAGAAGCCCCGGCUAACUCCGUG